rnacentral:rRNA from 1 species
GACGGAGGAUGCAAGUGUUAUCCGGAAUCACUGGGCGUAAAGCGUCUGUAGGUGGUUCGAAAAGUCCACUGUUAAAGAUUGAGGCUUAACUUCAAAAAUGCCGUGGAAACUUUCAAACUAGAGUAUGGUAGGGUAGAGGGAAUUUCCAGUGGAGCGGUGAAAUGCGUAGAUAUUGGAAAGACCACCGAUGGCGAAGGCACUCUACUGGGCCAUUACUGACACUGGAGAGACGAAAGCUAGGGGAGCAAAUGGG